rnacentral:rRNA from 1 species
AACGAACGCUGGCGGCAUGCCUAACACAUGCAAGUCGAACGAGACCUUCGGGUCUAGUGGCGCACGGCUGCGUAACGCGUGGGAACCUGCCCUUAGGUUCGGAAUAACUCCCCGAAAGGUGUGCUAAGACCGGAUAAUCUCUUCGGACCAAAGAUCUAUCGCCUUUGGAUGGGCCCGCGUUGGAUUAGCUAGUUGGUAGUGUAAAAGCCUGCCAAGGCGAGGAUGCAUAGCUGGUCUGAGAGGAUGAUCAGCCACACUGGGACUGAGACACGGCCCAGAAUCGUACGGGAGGGAGCAGUGGGGAAUAUUGGACAAGGGGCGAAAGUCUGAUACAGCAAUGCCGCGUGAGUGAUGAAGGCCGUAGGGUUGUAAAGCUGUUUUAGCCGGGAUGAUAAUGACAGUACCGGGAGAAUAAGCACCGGCUAACUACGUG